UACAGAGGGUGCGAGCGUUAAUCGGAAUUACUGGGCGUAAAGCGUGCGUAGACGGUUAUUUAAGUCGGGUGUGAAAGCCCCGGGCUCAACCUGGGAAUUGCAUUCGAGACUGAAAUAGCUAGGGUACGGUAGAGGGGAAGCGGAAUUUCCGGUGUAGCGGUGAAAUGCGUAGAUAAUCGGAAGGAACAUCAGUGGCGAAAGCGGACUUCCGUGGACCC
rnacentral:rRNA from 1 species